rnacentral:lncRNA from 1 species
CGCCACCGACGCUAUUCAUCCUAUGACGGAAAGGGAGCGCAGGACUAACCUAAGAAAGGGAAAGGAACAGUCUUACGACCAGAGAUUACAAGGUACGGGAGUCGGUUACGCAAGGGGAAGGUAUUAGCACCCCUCACGUCCGCCGUACUCGACGGGAUCCACGCUCAAAAGAUUGCUCAAAGAAUAGGAUAAGGGUUGCUAAUAAACUACUCAAAG